rnacentral:misc_RNA from 1 species
AGGAUCAUUACCGAGUGAGGGCCCUCUGGGUCCAACCUCCCACCCGUGUUUAUCGUACCUUGUUGCUUCGGCGGGCCCGCCGUUCAGGCCGCCGGGGGGCAUCCGCCCCCGGGCCCGCGCCCGCCGAAGACACCAUUGAACGCUGUCUGAAGAUUGCAGUCUGAGCGAUUAGCUAAAUCAGUUAAAACUUUCAACAACGGAUCUCUUGGUUCCGGCAUCGAUGAAGAACGCAGCGAAAUGCGAUAAGUAAUGUGAAUUGCAGAAUUCAGUGAAUCAUCGAGUCUUUGAACGCACAUUGCGCCCCCUGGUAUUCCGGGGGGCAUGCCUGUCCGAGCGUCAUUGCUGCCCUCAAGCACGGCUUGUGUGUUGGGCCCCGCCCCCCGGCUACCGGGGGGCGGGCCCGAAAGGCAGCGGCGGCACCGCGUCCGGUCCUCGAGCGUAUGGGGCUUCGUCACCCGCUCUGUAGGCCCGGCCGGCGCCCGCCGGCGACCCCCCUCAAUCUUUCUCAGGUUGACCUCGGAUCAGGUAGGGAUACCCGCUGAACUUAA